rnacentral:rRNA from 1 species
UACACAGAACACCGAUUGCGAAGGCAGCUUACUAAACUGACACUGACGCUGAUGCACGAAAGCGUGGGGAUCGAACAGGAUUAGAUACCCUGGUAGUCCACGCCGUAAACGAUGAUCACUCGCUAUAUGCGAUACACAGUAUGCGGCCAAGCGAAAGCAUUAAGUGAUCCACCUGGGGAGUACGAUCGCAAGGUUGAAACUCAAAGGAAUUGACGGGGGCCCGCACAAGCGGAGGAACUGUGGUUUAAUUCGAUGAUACGCGAGGAACCUUACCUGGGCUUAAAUGGGGAACGACAGCUGCCGAAAGGUGGCCUUCUUCGGACGUUCUUCAAGGUGCUGCAUGGUUGUCGUCGGCUCGUGCCGUGAGGUGUCGGGUUAAGUCCCAUAACGAGCGCAACCCUUAUCGUUAGUUGCCAGCGGGUCAAGCCGGGGACUCUAGCGAGACUGCCACCGUAAGGUGAGAGGAAGGUGGGGAUGACGUCAAAUCAGCACGGCCCUUAUGUCCAGGGCUACACACGUGUUACAAUGGCCAGUACAAAGGGCAGCUACCAGGUGACAGGAUGCUAAUCUUAAAAGCUGGUCUCAGUUCGGAUCGAAGUCUGCAACCCGACUUCGUGAAGCUGGAUUCGCUAGUAAUCGCGCAUCAGCCAUGGCGCGGUGAAUACGUUCCCGGGCCUUGUACACACCGCCCGUCAAACAAUGGAAGCUGGGGGUACCUGAAGUGCGUGACCGCAAGGAGCGUCCUAGGGCAAAACCGAUAACUGGGGCUAAGUCGUAACAAGGUAACCAAG